GAUCUUUCUCUUGGGAUGCUGUGGGCCAGAAGAGAUGGUUUUGUUCCAUGCAGUUUAUCUCCCCUUGUGUGGAUCUUCCGUGUGCAAUGUCCCAGAAGGAGCCAGGAGAUUCCCACCAGGAGCUUCCCUGUUCCCUCCCACCAGCUGCCCAGGCUGGUGCUGAGCAGGUCGUCCUUUUACAGCAUGAACUGUGUUAUCGAGAAGAUGUGGAAUAAACGUGACAAAGCGAUGCAGUCCUUUAAAUCUGCCUUAAUUUUACUGGGAACACUGCAAAUGCAAGACAAUACCAGUCGCUGUGUGAAGCGUUGCAUGUGGUUGACCUGCUCUACCCUAGGGGCUGUGUAUGGUUGGAGUAUGACUUGAGAUCUACAGGAGGAACAGCACAAGCCAGCGUUUGUACUGCUUGAUUAUCACAGACGCAGCUUCAGUUGCUGUGCACUCCGCCAUGAGUAAGAGUUUAUGCUGAAGCUGUGAGUUUUCCCACGAAAGCAGAGAAGAGACACGUGUAGCGGGUGGAAGCACACGCUCCUACCACACUCUGGGGAAGGUUCCUGCAUUCCAUGGACAGUGCUGCCUUUGGGGAGGGCUCCCGGUGUGCAGCUCUGCCAUCCCCGCCGGUGCUGAACCCGACACGGAGCAGCGCCAUGGAGCGGGGCGGGCAGCCGGACAGCGCGGAGCAUCGCGAGCAGUUGGUAACGUUUGGCAGCUUAACAGAGAAAAAAAUGACUGCUAGGGAAAUCUCAACCGCCGCUAAUUAGCAGCAAUGAACUGUGGCUGUAGAUGUCUACUUUGUUCCAAAGCCCCUUUUGUCCCUGGCCAUGGGGCUGUCCUGGAGCACCAUGGAUGUCCCCACACUGGCAGCAGGGCCUGAGCAGCCAUGGGAGGAUGCGCUGCUGGACAGACAUGGGCAGCACCAGCGGUGCAAGUGCAAAGGAUGAAACUGCCCUGGAGAGAGAAUGGGCUCAGCACAUGACAACGCAGACGUGGCUGUGCUCAGGAUUACCAUGCCUGGACGUGGGAGCAAGAAACCUGAACUUGCUGUGGGUUGAAAAAGUCUGAAAUUACAUUCUUGGUGAUGUAAGAGAUCUUCCGAUCCCUGGGAUUUUUCACUGAUGUCAUUACGGACACAAGUACCAUCUGUUUCCUACAUGUAGGCAUCAGCCUCUCUGCAGCUCCUUCCCGCAUCAGUGCAAGAGGGCAAAGGCUUCCGAUGCUGGCAUCAGGGGGGAGUUGUUCUUCACAUGGCACAACUCAGCCAGGCAGCAGCAAAUCUUAUGUCCCAUCAGCUUGCAGGAGGGACACCUCCACCCUGAGCCACUGGGUGCCAUGUGUGGCUCUGGCCACGCCAUUGGGUGAUGCACUGUGCCAAUGGGGAUGCUUGGUGCUUUUGGGGAUAUUCAGUGCUGCGAGGACUCUUGGUGCCAUUGGGGAUGCUCAGUGCCAG
ensembl:lncRNA